CUUACAUAUUCACUUUAUUUUGUGCUCAGCUGGCUAAUGAUUCAGCCUCACAGCUGAAGGUAUGUUAGCUUUAACGUAAGCUCGACGCUAGCGGCGCUAACUCGGCGCUAGCUCGACGCUAGCGGCGCUAACUCGGCGCUAGCUCGACGCUAGCGGCGCUAACUCGACGCUAACAGCGUUAGCGUAUGCUUUAUAGUACCGCAGCGGCUUACAUAUUCACUUUAUUUUGUGCUCAGCUGGCUAAUGAUUCAGCCUCACAGCUGUAGGUAUGUUAGCUUUAACGUUAGCUCGACGCUAGCGGCGCUAACUCGGCGCUAGCUCGACGCUAGCGGCGCUAACUCGAUGCUAACAGCGUUAGCGUAUGCUUUUUCAACUCAUUAUCUCGACCACUUCAAUCAUGAAUAAAC